GGCGGUGGGAGCGCGCAUGCGCGCGGCCGCACAGCCUGGGCAGCGGGUACAGCCUGUGACGGGUGGCGGCGGUCGGUCCUGCCUGGAACAGCGGCGACUGCCCGUCCAGACACCUGCGGCGGCUGCUACCCCGCGGCGGGCGCGGAGAUGUGGCCCCUGGCGGCGGCGCUGUUGCUGGCCUCGGCGUGCUGCGGUUCAGCUCAGCUACUAUUUAAUAAAACAAAAUCUGUAGAAUUCACGUUUUGCAAUGAAACUGUUGUCAUCCCGUGCUGUGUUAAUAAUAUAGAGGCAGAAAACCUUAACGAACUGUAUGUAAAGUGGAGAUAUAAAGGAAAAGACAUUUACAGCUAUGAUGGUGUUGUCAACAAGUCCGCUACCUACGGUGAUUUUCACAGUGCAAGAAUGGACGUCCCAGAAUUACUAAAAGGGGAUGCCUCCUUGAAGAUCGAUAAGAGUGAAGCUCUCUUAGGAAAUUAUUCAUGUGAAGUGACAGAAUUAAGCAGAGAAGGCGAAACCUUCAUAGAACUAAAAUAUCGUGUUGUUCCAUGGUUUUCUCCAAAUGAAAAUAUUCUCAUUGUUAUUUUCCCAAUUUUUGCUGUACUCCUGUUUUGGGGACAGUUUGGUAUUAAAACACUUAAAUAUAAAUCCAGUCAUAUGGAUGAGAUAACCAUUGCUGUGCUUGUUGUUGGACUAGUAACCACUGCAGUAAUCAUUGUUGGAGCCAUUCUUUUCGUCCCAGGUGAAUAUUCAAUAAAGAAUGCUACUGGACUUGGUUUGAUUGUAGUUACUACCGGGUUAUUAUUAUUACUUCACUACUAUGUGUUUAAAACAACAAUUGGGAUUCCCUCCUUCGUCAUCGCCAUAUUGGUUAUGCAGCUGCUGGCCUAUGUACUCGCUGUGGUUGGGUUGAGUCUCUGUAUUUCGGCAUGUAUACCAGUGCAUGGCCCUCUUCUGAUCGCAGGUUUGAUUAUCUUUGCUCUAGCACAAUUACUUGGACUAGUUUAUAUGAAAUUUGUGGAGUUCAGAGGCACACCACCGGUCAGUUGAAAGGCAAGAAGAGACAAGCUUCCAAUCAGAAGACCAUAAAUCCUCCUAGGAAAGCUGUAGAAGAACCCCUUAAUGCAUUUAAAGAAUCAAAAGGAAUGAUGAAUGAUGAAUAACUGAAGUGAAGAGAUGGACUGUGAUUUGGAGAGUAGUAAGACGUGAAAGGAAUACACUUGUGUUUAAACACCAUGGCCUUGAUUCACUGUUGGGGAGAAGAAACCAAGAAAAGUAACUGGUUGUCAUUGUGGGAACAAAUAGUUGUUCCCUCAAAUGAUUGUUACAGUUAAGUUUUUAUUCAAAGCAGCUGUAAUUUAGUUAAUAAAAGACUUAUGAUGUGCUGUGUGCCCAACUGAGAUCCAGUUUUUUUGUUAUUUUUAUUCAAUUAGGGGCAAACGUAGAAUGGGCAGCUUCCAAGAAUGAUGCCUUUCAGAUCCUAGCACUUCUUGACUCUAGGUCACCAGUUUAAGUUAGUUCAGGGUGAGAAUUUCAUAGCACUAGCCUGGUGGUUACCCAGAGAUAUCAAUGAAAAACAGUGGCUUCCAUCAAACCUUAGAAAACUCAGGUUCACAACAGCAUUGGCAGUUACGAUAUUAGCUGAAUAAUGUGUCUGCCACUUAAGGGUCAAGGGAAUAGUGAAUUAAGUACAGACAGGAAUUCUAUUGGGAACAUCUGGUAUGCCACCCACGUGUGAUGUGAUUUUGAUAGAGACAGUGGUCUUCAUUCUUGGGGGUUGCCAUUCACACGUUCCUGUUCAACAUACAGUGUAACGAAUCCUUUCCAGAUUUAGGGUACUUUGAUUGAUGGAUGUGUUUUUCUUUUUUUCACACAACUCUUUAAACCCUGUCUUGUCCUCCUGUUAUUUGCUUCUGCUGUACAAGAUGUAGCACCUUUUCUCCUCUUUGAACAUGGUCCAGUGACACGGCAACAUGCAGGAAGGAGCCAGACUUGUUCUCAGAGCACUAUGUUCACACUUUUCAGCAAAAAUAGCUAUGGUUGUAACAUAUGUAUUCCCUUCCUCUGAUUUGAAGGCAAAAAUCUAUAGUGUUUCUUCACUUCUUUUCUGAUCCGAGGCAUGAAAAAGCAAGAUUGAAAUUUGAACUAUGAGUCUCCUGCAUGGCAACAAAAUGUGUGUCACCAUCAGGCCACCAGGCCAGCCCUUGACAGGGUGGUUUUAUUACUGUUGUAUUCUGUGUUGCAUGAUAAACACUCAUCUCCUUCCUCCUGUAGUCCUGCCUCGUACUCCCCUGCCCCUAAGAUCGAGAAGUAAAACAAAAACCACAUUUCCUAUCCCAGUUAGAAGAAAAUUAACGUUCUGACAGUUGUGAUCGCCUUGAGUACUUUUAGACUUCUAGCACUUGUUUUUUACCUCUUUGUGGGUGUGUGUUUGUAUGUGCAUAUGUAUAAGAUAGGCACAUGCAUCUUUUAUAUGGACAAAAGUGGGCUACCUACAGGAGCACAACGGCUAAUUUUGUGCUUUUAGUAAAAACAUUUAAAAACAAAGAUCUUUAUUGGGUGGAAUUAUAUUUGAUGCAAAUAUUUGAUCACUUAAAACUUUAAAAACUUCUAGAUAAUUUGCCAUGCUUUUUGACAGCUCACCAAUGCCCUCUAAAAAUAUAUAAUUCUUCCUAUUUGUGUAAUAAGACAUCCAUAUUUGUAAUUGCAUUAAUAGUUAUUUCUUAGUCCACUGAAUGUUCCCAUGUGCCUCUUUUAUGCCAAAUUGUCAUAUUUCAUGUUGGGACCAAGUGGUUUGCCCAUGGCAAACCUAAAUUUAUGACCUGCUGAGGCCUCUCAGAAAACGGAAUACACUAGCAAGACAGCUCUUCUUGAAGAUGAAAUAUAUAUUUUCUUCCCUGAUUGUAUAUCUGUUCAAGAUAUUAGCAUGUGUAGAGGGAACUGUAUUCCUUUAUACAAAUCUGAUGGCUCCUGCUGAUCUUUUUCCUUCUGAAAAUAUUUACAUUUUGCUAAUAUAGUUUGUUACUUUAGAAAUCAGUUUUGAUGAAAGGAGGGAUAAAAGCAGAUGGACUUGAAAAAGAUCCAAAUUCCUAUUCUCUAUUAAGAAAGUCAGGUAUGAAAAUAUUUAUAGUAAAAUUUUUUAUAAAGUUGUACCUUUUAAUAUGUCACAAACUCAUUUUUUGGAGGUUCGACCUUGGGUCUCAUCCGUUUGUUGUGUUCUCUCUAAUGCUGCCUGCCUUUUGAGGCAUUCACUGCCCUAGACGGUGCCACCCAAGAUAGCAGGGGAAAUGCCCUUCCUGGUUGUCAGCUUCUCUGGAUAAAGGACCACAGCUGCAGGAGUCCUCUUGCUUGGGCACCACUGGGCCAGUUCCUUCUCUUUAAGACAGACUUGUGGCUCCCAGUCUCUGUUACAUCAAAUUUAAAAUGCUAACUUCAUAUAUAUAGCUAACAAUGUUUUUGAGCAUCAUAUAUCUGUUUUGCUCCAUAAUAUGCUCCCUGAUCCCAGUUUUUGCUGUCCACCCUUCCAUUUUUAUUUAUCAUAUGUUCUCAGAGUAACAUCAUUUAUCAUUUUCUGCAACAACCUUUCCAGGCUUUUCGGCAAAAUCAAAUUUUUCUUCUCCUUCAAAAUGUUCUACUCCAGCCCUGCCCCCCACCCCACUGCUUUGCAAUCUGUCCCCAUCUGUCCUGCUGCCUCUUUCAUCUCCUUCUUACCUUUCCUAGUACUUUAUGCAUCUGUGCUUAGUUCAGUUGGCUUUUUAUGUCUUGCUCCUUUCACUUGAUUUUAAAGUUCCUUCUAUAGCAAGAGCCUUUCUUUAGUCCUUUCUCUCUUCCUGAAGUUUUUACAUACAUUAGAAGCUCAAUACAUAAGUUAGAUGAUUGAGAGUUUUCUGUAUUUAGAUUUUUCACUAUUUUUAAUAGGGUGAGCUAGAGAGGUUUUUUUGUUUUUGAGUUUGUUUUUUGUGGUUUUUUUUUGUUUUGUUUUUUUUGAUAAAUUUCACAUAUUCUAAAAACCUUAACAGGUGAUGAGUUUUCACCUGGAAACUCCUGGUCCAUUCUGUUUAAAUUCCUGAGAAUGUCAGAAUUAAAAUGAUGGGGCUGCCCCAUAGUUGGGAGUAUUGAUCUUUUCAGGAUGCUGUAGUCAAUUUAGUAAGUGACCAAUCAAACUAGGAUUUGAAUUAAUAAAGCUCAAAAAGUGAUAGCUUGUUCCUCCAUGUCAUUAAUAAAAAUUAAGCUCUAUAUCACCUUGUAGAUUUCUGUUGUCUUAAAAAUGGGUAUUCAAAAAUGUAGGUCUGCAGUAUAUGUAUGGAAACAUGCCCCUUUAUUUACCUGUUGUUGAAAACUGGAGAAAUAAUUGUCCGGCAACCCUUUAUCUUUCUAUUGUGUUUUAUUUGAUUGAGGGUUUUUUUAGAAACAGUUUUACAUGUGUCAUAUUUUCCAAAUUACUAACUGCCAUCACCCACUGGAGGUCCUUCGUUAAGUCAUUGUCAGUGGCUAAUAGGGAUAAGCCAGGUAUCUUUGAAGAGAUGAGCAGUAAGCGACAAGAAAGUUUUUCUGCCUUUAGCUCUGGCAACUCUUAAUUAUGAUCAUUUAAGACCAGCUUUCCCAUAAAUUUAGCCUUUUGAAAAAAAGAAAGCAUUUGUAAAAAGCUUCUCUGUGAGACAUCAGUGGAAUCUUAAAAGUGUUGUUAUCGUGGUUGGCGAGAAAGGAAAACAUUUUUGUUUUUAUCAAACGGAGCAUUAUUUACAAAAAAGCCAUUGUUGAGAAUUAGAUCCCACAUUGUAUAAAUAUCCAUUAACCAUUCUAAAUAAAGAGAACUCCAGUGUUGCUAUGUGCAAGAUCCUCACUUGGGGGCUUUUUUGCAUAGCAAUUAAAGGUGUGCUGUUUGUCAGUAGCCAUUUUUUUGCAGUGAUUUAAAGACCAAAGUUGUUUUACAGCUGUGUUACCGUUAAAGGGUUUUUUUUUUUAUAUGUAUUAAAUCAAUUUAUCACUGUUUGAAGCUUUGAAUAUCUGCAAUCUUUGCCAAGAUACUUUUUUAUUUAAAAAAAACAUAACUUUGUAAAUAGUACACUGUAAUAUUAUAUAUACUUAAUAAAACAUUUUAAGCUA